rnacentral:lncRNA from 1 species
AAUGUGGCCUCCAACCACACCUGGACAUUUUUUCUUGUUAUCUCCAAUCCAAAUCCUUUCUGCUUUAUCCCAGGUUAGGGAGUACUUCCCCAGCCCUAAACUUCAGGCUCGUCUGUCUUUCCUGCCCUCUCUCCCAUUUCUGUGUCAUGGCCAGAGCUCUUUCUCUAAGAGCCCUUGUUCUUCAAUUAAUAACAGUGAGUCUGCAUUACUAAUUUCCAUGUACUAUUCCUCACUUGCUAAAAACUUUCUUGCUUACUUUUCCUAGAGCUUCAAUAGGAUGUUUAUAAAUUCAUUUUGCUUUGUUGUAGAAAUUUGCACAAUAAUGGGACACCAACAUGGCACAUGUAUAUGUAUGUAAUUAACCUGC